rfam:Bacillus sp. CHD6a contig14, whole genome shotgun sequence.
ACGAUGUUCCGCUGCAUCAAAUAAGUAUGGUAUGAGCAUCUG